rnacentral:rRNA from 1 species
CGGACCUGCUCAAUGUUAAAUAAAUAGCUGCAGUAUUUUGACUGUACUAAGGUAGCAUAAUCAUUAGGUUUUUAAUUAAAAUCNNNAAUGAAGGGUUUGACAAGAAAGAAACUUUUAUAGAGUUAAAAAUUGAAUUUUAUUUUUAAGUGAGAAAUCUUAAUUAUUUUUAGGGGACGAUAAGACCCUAUAGAUUUUUAUUAAGAUUUAUUUUUAAAGGUAAGUCUGUAUAACUUUAAGUUUUAAUUUAUCUGGGGCGGAUAAANUAUUUCAAAUUGAAUUUUAAGUUUAUGAACUAAAAAUUUUAAUAAUUAGGAAAACGUUACCUUAGGGAUAACAUGUAUAAUUUUCUUUGAGAGUACAAAUUGACAAGAAAGAUUUUAACCUCGAUGUUGAAUUAAGAAUAUUUUUAAAGUAUAAAUUAAAAUUAUUAAG